rnacentral:rRNA from 1 species
GACGAACGCUGGCGGCGCGCUUAACACAUGCAAGUCGAACGGAAAGGCCUGCUUUCCCUUGUGGAUUGCGGGUACUCGAGUGGCGAACGGGUGAGUAACACGUGAGUGAUCUGCCCCCAACUUGGGUAUAAGCCUGGGAAACUGGGUCUAAUUCCCGAUAGGACUGCAGGGUGGUGCCUGUGGUGGAAAACGAUUUUCUAGUGGUUGGGGAUGAGCUCGCGGCCUAUCAGCUUGUUGGUGGGGUAAUGGCCUACCAAGGCGGCGACGGGUAGCCGGCCUGGGAGGGUGGACGGCCACAUUGGGACUGAGAUACGGCCCAGACUCCUACGGGAGGCAGCAGUGGGGAAUAUUGCACAACGGGCGGAAGCCUGAUGCAGCGACGCCGCGUGGGGGAUGACGGCCUUCGGGUUGUAAACUCCUUUCGACCGCGAGGAAGCCACCUGGUUGGAAGGGUGGUGACGGUAGUGGUAGAAGAAGCACCGGCUAACUACGUG